CAGUCGCCGCGGGAAAACGUAGGUGGCAAGCGUUGUCCGGAAUUAUUGGGCGUAAAGGGCUCGCAGGCGGUUUCUUAAGUCUGAUGUGAAAGCCCCCGGCUCAACCGGUGAGGGUCAUUGGAAACUGGGAAACUUGAGUGCAGAAGAGGAGAGUGGAACUCCACGUGUAGCGGUGAAAUGCGUAGAGAUGUGGAGGAACACCAGCGGCGAAGGCGACUCUCUGGUCUGUAACUGACGCUGAGGAGCGAAAGCGUGGGGAGCGAACAGGAUUAGAUACCCCUGUAGUCCCUGUCUCUUAUAC
rnacentral:rRNA from 1 species